rnacentral:rRNA from 1 species
CGAACGGUGAACACGGAGCUUGCUCUGUGGGAUCAGUGGCGAACGGGUGAGUAACACGUGAGCAACCUGCCCCUGACUCUGGGAUAAGCGCUGGAAACGGCGUCUAAUACUGGAUAUGUGACGUGACCGCAUGGUCUGCGUCUGGAAAGAAUUUCGGUUGGGGAUGGGCUCGCGGCCUAUCAGCUUGUUGGUGAGGUAAUGGCUCACCAAGGCGUCGACGGGUAGCCGGCCUGAGAGGGUGACCGGCCACACUGGGACUGAGACACGGCCCAGACUCCUACGGGAGGCAGCAGUGGGGAAUAUUGCACAAUGGGCGCAAGCCUGAUGCAGCAACGCCGCGUGAGGGACGACGGCCUUCGGGUUGUAAACCUCUUUUAGCAGGGAAGAAGCGAAAGUGACGGUACCUGCAGAAAAAGCGCCGGCUAACUACGUGCCAGCAGCCGCGGUAAUACGUAGGGCGCAAGCGUUAUCCGGAAUUAUUGGGCGUAAAGAGCUCGUAGGCGGUUUGUCGCGUCUGCUGUGAAAUCCGGAGGCUCAACCUCCGGCCUGCAGUGGGUACGGGCAGACUAGAGUGCGGUAGGGGAGAUUGGAAUUCCUGGUGUAGCGGUGGAAUGCGCAGAUAUCAGGAGGAACACCGAUGGCGAAGGCAGAUCUCUGGGCCGUAACUGACGCUGAGGAGCGAAAGGGUGGGGAGCAAACAGGCUUAGAUACCCUGGUAGUCCACCCCGUAAACGUUGGGAACUAGUUGUGGGGUCCAUUCCACGGAUUCCGUGACGCAGCUAACGCAUUAAGUUCCCCGCCUGGGGAGUACGGCCGCAAGGCUAAAACUCAAAGGAAUUGACGGGGACCCGCACAAGCGGCGGAGCAUGCGGAUUAAUUCGAUGCAACGCGAAGAACCUUACCAAGGCUUGACAUAUACGAGAACGGGCCAGAAAUGGUCAACUCUUUGGACACUCGUAAACAGGUGGUGCAUGGUUGUCGUCAGCUCGUGUCGUGAGAUGUUGGGUUAAGUCCCGCAACGAGCGCAACCCUCGUUCUAUGUUGCCAGCACGUAAUGGUGGGAACUCAUGGGAUACUGCCGGGGUCAACUCGGAGGAAGGUGGGGAUGACGUCAAAUCAUCAUGCCCCUUAUGUCUUGGGCUUCACGCAUGCUACAAUGGCCGGUACAAAGGGCUGCAAUACCGCGAGGUGGAGCGAAUCCCAAAAAGCCGGUCCCAGUUCGGAUUGAGGUCUGCAACUCGACCUCAUGAAGUCGGAGUCGCUAGUAAUCGCAGAUCAGCAACGCUGCGGUGAAUACGUUCCCGGGUCUUGUACACACCGCCCGUCAAGU